rnacentral:rRNA from 2 species
UUUCAGUGAUGGAUAUCUUGGCUC